CCUACGGGGGGCUGCAGUGGGGAAUAUUGGACAAUGGGCGAAAGCCUGAUCCAGCCAUGCCGCGUGUGUGAAGAAGGCCUUCGGGUUGUAAAGCACUUUCAGUGGGGAAGAAAGCCUUGGGGCUAAUACCCUCGAGGAAGGACAUCACCCACAGAAGAAGCACCGGCUAACUCCGUGCCAGCAGCCGCGGUAAUACGGAGGGUGCGAGCGUUAAUCGGAAUUACUGGGCGUAAAGCGCGCGUAGGCGGUCUGAUAAGCCGGUUGUGAAAGCCCCGGGCUCAACCUGGGAACGGCAUCCGGAACUGUCAGGCUAGAGUGCAGGAGAGGAAGGUAGAAUUCCCGGUGUAGCGGUGAAAUGCGUAGAGAUCGGGAGGAAUACCAGUGGCGAAGGCGGCCUUCUGGACUGACACUGACGCUGAGGUGCGAAAGCGUGGGUAGCAAAAAGGAUUAGAUACCCUGGUAGUC
rnacentral:rRNA from 1 species